rnacentral:rRNA from 1 species
GAUGAACGCUGGCGGCGUGCCUAAUACAUGCAAGUCGAGCGAACAGAUGAGGAGCUUGCUCCUCUGACGUUAGCGGCGGACGGGUGAGUAACACGUGGAUAACCUACCUAUAAGACUGGGAUAACUUCGGGAAACCGGAGCUAAUACCGGAUAAUAUAUUGAACCGCAUGGUUCAAUAGUGAAAGACGGUUUUGCUGUCACUUAUAGAUGGAUCCGCGCCGCAUUAGCUAGUUGGUAAGGUAACGGCUUACCAAGGCAACGAUGCGUAGCCGACCUGAACGGGUGAUCGGCCACACUGGAACUGAGACACGGUCCAGACUCCUACGGGAGGCAGCAGUAGGGAAUCUUCCGCAAUGGGCGAAAGCCGGACGGAGCAACGCCGCGUGAGUGAUGAAGGUCUUCGGAUCGUAAAACUCUGUUAUUAGGGAAGAACAAAUGUGUAAGUAACUAUGCACGUCUUGACGGUACCUAAUCAGAAAGCCACGGCUAACUACGUG